rnacentral:lncRNA from 1 species
AAUCUAAUUCAUAUGUUAGACUAAAUUUAUGUUCUGUAAAGCGUAUAAAAGGCUAGUGAUUGUAGUCAUUUUCUACAAGUUAUUUUUUGGGGUGUUAAGAAAUAAAAUGAGUGUUAUUUAGAAUGUUAUCUUCUCCUUUUCUAGAAGAUAAUAUUUUUUUUUGGUGAUGCAAGAAUCAUUAGGUACAUCGUGAUACUCUGCUAUGUUGAUAUUUUCGUAGCAUACUUAUCUUCCACUUUCAAGCUUUCU